AAAAGUCCACCCCCCUACCCCACCAUAACCCAUUAUAUUAUGUAUCUAUAGGUCAGUAUAUACAAAUUUUCCGGCGAGUUAUGCUCCUUCUUAGUCGUCGUCUUAGCUGAGGUGCGGAAAUCCGGUGAGGUGAUGGCGGACGACGUCGUUCCGAAGACGUUCCGUGCGUUGGUAGAAAGUGCGGAGAAGAAAUAUGCAAGAGUACGGGAUUUACCGGCGUACGGACGGUGGGGAACGAGUAACCACUACUUUCACAAGGUGUUUAAGGCGUACAUGAGGUUAUGGAAGUAUCAGCAGGAGAACAGGAUGAGGCUUUUGGAGUGUGGAUUACAGCGUUGGGAGAUCGGAGAGAUCGCUUCACGGAUCGGUCAGCUUUACUUUAGUCAGUAUAUGAGGACUAGUGAAGCGAGGUUUUUACUCGAGUCGUGUAUUUUCUAUGAAGCGAUUUUGAACAGGAAGUAUUUUGAAGGUUCUGGAAAAGAUCGGAUGGUGAGGUUUAAGGAGCUGAGGUUCUAUGCCAGGUUUUUGAUGGUUUCGUUGAUUUUGAACCGGACGGAAAUGGUGAACCUGCUGGUUGAGCAGUUUAAAGCUAUUGUUGAUGACAGUAAAACUGCUUUUCCGGGUACUAACUUCAAAGAGUGGAGACUAGUGGUGCAAGAAAUAGUUAGAUUUGCAAGAGUUCAUUCUCCAUCUCCUGAUGCCAGGCCUUUGCGAUAUUGUGCUCUCUUUGAUUCACAUCCAUCAUCUCGUCCAUACGUGGCUCGCUUCCAUGCUAAGAAGGUGCUAAAGUUUCGAGAUGCACUGUUGACAAGUUAUCACAAAAAUGAGGCCAAAUUUGCAGAAUUAACUCUGGACACUUACAGAAUGCUGCAAUGCUUGGAAUGGGAACCCAGCGGAUCUUUCUAUCAAAGAAGUCCAGUUGAACCACGAGCAAAUGGUGCAGUGACUGACCAAUCUAUAACUUCUGGACUGAUUGACAUUAACUUGGCUGCUGAGAUGAUGGAUCCAGCUUUGCCUCCAAAUCCAAAGAAGGCCGUUCUUUACCGUCCUAAUGUUCCACUGUUGAUAUCUGUUGUCGCUACGAUGUGUGAGGAGCUCCCUCCAGAGAGUGUGGUAUUAAUAUAUAUUUCCGCAUCAGGAAACACAAUUCAGAAUACCACCUCGCACACAGAAAGCUCUUCUAGUUCUAGAAAAUCUUCGAAGAACAGUGUCUUUUCUCGUACUUCCCAUGAACAAAAGAGUGCUUUACAUGAAAAUUAUACCAACACCAAUGGAGAUACAGGUCAAUAUUUCGAGAGUUGUUUGUGCUUAGGUCCUAGCAGAAGUGGAGGUUCAAAUAACCUCUAUCCAGGCGAUCUUAUUCCUUUCACACGAAGACCUCUCUUCCUAAUAAUCGAUAGUGACAACAGCGAUGCAUUCAAGGCAGGUUCUACAUGGGGCAGAAAGAGGAGAAAAAAGUGCUUUGUUUCUCUCUCCUCUGAGGCCAUCAUUCAAGAACCCAGGCACUGAGGUAACACAAACUGGAAGUCAGUUCACGUUGUUCUUGGCUGCUCCCUUACAGGCUUUCCGCCAGUUGGUUGGCCUUGUCUCAUCUGAUGAGGAUAUGGAUUGUUCAGAUGCGGCUGAUGGCAUCAUCUCAACUGCAUUUGCAGAAUGGGAGGUAAUCCUCUGUACAUCGACUAACCUAGAUUUGGUUUGGGCUCAAGUUCUAUCUGACCCUUUUCUGAGACGGCUUAUUCUCAGAUUCAUAUUCUGUCGUGCUGUGCUUGGUCUAUUCUGCUUGCAUGAACGUGGCAAUGAGUAUUUGCCUGUUUGUCUCCCAAAGCUUCCUGAUACAUUCUCACCAGAUUCUGAAACUGUUCAACCAGCUAUCAGACGACUUGCAAGACUUCUAAAAGUUGGAGAUUGUUUUCGAUUUUGACAUUCAUGAGACGUGAAUCGUGAUAUAUGGUGCUCCCUUUAUGAUGUAAAGAGAUCCAGAAACUUACCAGUCAGACGCCACCCUGGUUACCAAAGUGCUGGCUGGAAGUACGAAUGCAUUCUUUUUAGGUGAUCGGUUUACUUAGUUUACAUCAAAAUAUCUUCUUAUUUCAUGUGCAGAAUUUUCGGGGUUUUCUUCAUUAUUUAGGCUUUCUAUAGCAAGCAUUUGGUUGGUGAUACUGUGCAUUUCUAAUAGAAGGGGUCAGUCGAGUUUUUGUGUUCAGUUCUUUUUGUUCCUACAGGAAUUAGUGCUAAUUUGUUCAUAUGUAUGCUGUAUUAUAGAAGCUGUCGGUUGAAUUCUUUAAUUAGAGGCUGAGCAAUUUCUCUUCCAA